CUCCAAGUAGCAGUACAGCAGGGAUUAGCAGAAGCGUAGUCAAGGAAAGCCAAAGUCAGGGGAAUCCAGAGAUCAGAGUAGUCCAGGAGGAAAGCCAAGGUCAGAAGCCGGAAUCAGACAGGAAAUACUGGAACGCAGAUAUAGCAAGACAGGAACCAAACAAGGGAACCAGAGUCAAUGAACUGACACUGCCCUCAGGGAGAGGCAGUGUCUUAUACCUGGCUAAUUGGUGAUCAGCCACAGGUGUGCUGAGAUCGUUGGAGCAGCCACAGAAUAACGUCCAGCCCCCAGUGCUG